rnacentral:rRNA from 1 species
UACAGAGGUACGUCAAGCGAUUGUUUCGGAUUCAGUUGGGUCGUAAAGGGUUGGCGUAAGGGUGGCGCCGUGAAGUCCGGGUAGUGGAAUUUCGAAUGGCUUAACCUCGAAACUGCAUUCGAUACUGCGGUGCUUGAGGACUGGAGAGGAGACUGGAAUUCAUGGUGUAGCGGUGAAAUGCGUAGAGAUGUGGAGGAACACCAGUGGCGAAGGCGGCUCUCUGGACUGUAACUGACGCUGAGGCGCGAAAGCGUGGGGAGCAAACAGG